AUAUUAUAUUGUGAAUGUGAAUUUUGUGAAACGUAGUUGUACCUAAUUGCUCAGUUCGCCACAGAUUUUAAAGCUAUUUCAGGACAGUUCUUACCGAUCAAGAGACAAGUGUAAUAGUUCCCUCGUUACCUGGCGCAUAAAAAGACAUGAAGAGGGAUUUUAAAAUGGCGGCCAAGAUGGCGUCUGUACCCGGCUCACGUUCCCGCCAUCACACACGAACACGUGUAGACUAGACAGUCGAGGGACCGAUUUCUCUUUGAUUACGAAAAACAAACAUCACUCCGUAGGUAAACUACGUAAUUGCUUUGUUUACAUAUCGAAAAAUCUCGUAAACAGCUCUUGUGUGUACCUUUUGGGCUUUACGUGUACGUUGGUACGUUUGUAUGGUAUGUAUGGUACGUUUGUAAAUUUAUAGCUAUAUAUAAUUUAAACAGCCUAGCAUCUUUCAAAAAACAAGUAAAAAACUUUCUGUUACAUGAACAAAAAGCACAGGAAAACUUGCGCCAAGAUAUAAGUGUGAUAUAGGUGUUUCGCGAUGGUUAUCUGUGGCUUAAGGCUAUGACAGAUCUAGGUUUAAUAUACUGGCUAUUAUUUUCAACGUAGUUAGAUUCGGUUGGCAUCACAUUUUCUCUUGUUUUUCCUAAUUGUUAUGUACAUAUCUUUAACAUUACAACUAGUACAGUAAUACCACUCUUUCAAAAUUAAGUAUACACUAUGACUUAUAUUAUUGUUAUUAUUCUGUUAGAUAUAACAAACUUUAUAGAGUGCUAAUUUAAUAUAGGUAGUAUUUUAAUUAUGGAUCACAGAUUACUAGUACCGUAUAUAUAUUUUGUAGAUUAUGGAUUGUG